rnacentral:lncRNA from 1 species
CCUUAAUCAGCAUAAGUAUAUUUCUGAUUUAGUGCAUCAGUUUGAUUGUGCAAAUGUUUCCUCUGUUGUCUCCCCUUUGGAUAUUAAUGUCAAACUUCAUGCUGAUUCUGGUGACCUUUUAUCCUCCCCUGACCAAUACAGGAGUCUUGUUGGUAAGAUGUUAUUUCUGACUCAUACUAGGCCUGACAUAUGCUUUGCUGUUCAACAUCUGAGUCAAUUCCUCAAAUCCCCAGACUUCCCCAUAUGACUGUUGCCCUGCAUGUUUUGAGAUACCUUAAAGGCACUCCUUCUAUGGGUCUAUUUUAUUCUGCCACUGAUGAUUUCUCUGUUAUUGGUUAUUCUGAUAGUGACUGGGCUGCAUGCCCUGACACUAGGAGAUCUGGUUUUAUUCUGCCAGUGAUGAUUUCUCUGUUGUUGGUUAUUCUGAUAGUGACUGGCUGCAUGCCCUGAUACUAGGAGAUCUGUUACUGGAUUUUCUGUGCUAUUGGGUGGUUGCCUGAUUAGUUGGAAAUCUAAGAAGCAACCUGUUGUUUCUUUGUCUUCUACUGAGGCAGAAUAUAGAGCUGUGAUGAUUUGUUGUUUGGGUUGUACAUAUAUAUGAGCCCACUUUCUUUUUGUUCUUGGGCCGUC